GGCUACACGGACACUAUUCAGGCCCAACGCGCCUCCACUGGCCCCGGACGUACAGAGAAAUAUCCCACGGAGCACCCUGGACCCCAACUGCGCAGGCGCUUGCGACCCCUUCAGCCCGCCUUCUAAUUCCGAUUUCUCAUUGGUCGGACGUGCCUCUGCCGAGGUGAUUGGGUACCGGUCUUCCCGGCAUGACUUCGAUUGGCUUAAGAAGCCCAGGCAAGGGGCGGGACAAAACUCUGUUCUUCCGCUUGGAGGGGCGGGUGGUUGCCAGGGACAGCCGGGCCUGGGAUGGAUGUAAAGGACCCCUGUUCCCUAGAGAAGCCCAACUUGGAUCUGUCUCCAAGUCUGGAAAGAAGAGGAGUGCCAUGUGGCUGCCUGGUCCCUUACCUUUAACGACGCCCCCUUAUCCUGGGCUGUGCCUGGAUUCGACUUCGAUUUGUUUCUCCAGGGGCGCCUCCUCAAUCCUGGGGUGUUGAACUGGGCCUGGACGGCAAAACCUAGAAAAGAACCCUCUAGCUACGAGGCUCAGGGAGGAGCGGCGCUAAAGGGCACUGGGGCCGCCUUUGGGGCGUUACGGAGUCGGACGCUCGGCUCCGUAGCUAAAGGCGGGCUGGUCCCGUUAGUCUUAGCCGGACUCGGGGCGCAUGCGCCUGGGUCCUGUGAGUGCCUCAGCCCAAACUAAAAGCGCGUGUAGCCUUGGCCUGGUCGGACAGGUGCAGCAGACAAGGGAAGGUUCCUCCUUUUUUGCACCUGAGGUUCUCCCCGUCUCAGGAGAUCAAGCAGGCAAAAGGAGGUGGAAGAUACCUUGUGCUGGCACAGAUAGAAGUUGUUGCUUUGGAGGUGAUGGAAGAUUAGAAGAUGCCUGGCCAGGUAUUUCAGUGCACUCAGAAGGAGAUGGAAGAGUCAUAGAGUCAGAGAGAGGUUCACUUCCUCUAUUUACCUGAGGAUGCUGGGAAUGGAGAUUACAGUGAGAAUGAAGAUCAUGGUUAGGAAUUGUAAAGCAUAGAGAAAGAUAUAAUGAUAACAUGAUCAAUUGCAAUGACAGAAAUGAUGAAAGGAACA
rnacentral:lncRNA from 1 species